GCUUUUAUAGAUUUGGGAUUUGACUUGAGAUCCAAGUAAACAUAAAUCUAUAAAUAGAGGGAGUAACCCUUAUUCUUGUAAUGAAGUGAAUAGAGUAUUCAUAAUAUUGUAAUUCACAGCAUUUUGCAGUUGCAAAGUGAAUAAGAAGUUUUCCACAGUUUGUGAGCAGAGAGAAACUCUAUAGAAUUUAAUUUUUCUUCUCCUUCAUCGUUCUUUACACUCUUUCUUUCUCCAUUUUUCUUCUCUUUUCAUUGUUUUUGUGUGGGUGAUAACAAUCUUGUUCAUCAAGAUUGACUGAAAUUCUUCAUAGAUUGUGGGGGAUUUCCAACAACCAAGACAUUUUAUUUCUGGUACAUAGAACAUUGUCAACCAAUGAAAUGACUUUAUGAAAUAAAGAUAUAAAAGGCGAUAACACAUAAAUUAUUUAUCCACUUCAAUCAAAUUGAUCUACUUUGGUGGAAAGAGACGUUCUCCAAUUCAUUAUACUUCAUUGUUGUUAUAAGAGAUUAUAAGAUGUUACAAUAAGAUAGUCUUCAAAGUUCUCAAUAAGAAAUCAUAUUUUCUACUCAAGUGUUUCUCAAUCUCUGCAACUCUCAAUAUAAGAAUCUCACAAAUCCAACGUAUUUAAAGUGUUUCUCAAACUCCUUUGAUAAUUUCAAAGGUUGUCAAACUCUAAGAAUAAAAUCAUAGGAAUUUCUACCCUUCCUUCUGGCUAGAAUUUCUACACCUUAUGUAACUCCUAUUAAAAUGAGAGAAAACUAUAUUCAUAACUGCUAAAACCCUAAAGAUCCAAAUCAGACCCACAACAAGAUCCUAUCAAUUAAAUAGAUUAGAGCAUCAAACUAAUCCGUCCUGAUACCAGCCGACCACUGCCCACCUGUCAACUACCUAAUUGUCAUACCUAUGCAUUUCCGUUUUGCCAAUGCAAAUCUACCGUAUCCGCCUCCUGACUCCGCCACCGAGCUCGUAAAAAAAAUGACAAUACUAAAAUAUUUUUUUCUCAUUUCUCAUUUGAGGUAUUAAGACAUAUUACAAUAUUAUUUUGUAAUUUUGAAGCAUUAUUGCUCUACUAUAAACAUUACAAAUGCACAUAAAGUUCAAUUUAUAUAUCAAGAUAUAUGAUACUUUGAUUUCCUUAGGUUAUGGUAUUUAAAAAAUCUAUAUUUUAUUGAUCACUUAUAUAAAAUUUCUAAACUUUUGUGUGGGAGAUAUCUAUAAUGACUAAGCACAUUAAUACUCAAUUCUCAUUCUCAACGUAGUUUGACCGGCAAUCGCUCUAUGCGUGCAAUUACCUUUAGAAUAUGACAAGAUAAUUACAAUAUUUAUGUAACGAUAAGUAAAAUGUGCAAGUCAUCAUAGGAGAGAGGAAUAUUUGACGUCUAAAUAAAAGUUUAGGAGUUUAUAAAAUUAACCUAAAAUUAACUUUUAACAUAAUUGAGGUAACUUUAUGCAGAUACAACUAAAACUACUACAAAUUACUUUCAGAUUAGGCAAAGGGCACAAUGAAGAAGAACAAUCAAUUUCUCCUAAACAAUGAUAACGUGAUCCUAUGAUGUAAAACAAGAAGAAGCGAGUGUUAAUGAAACGGGUGCAAAAAAAUGUAAAAAUUUAAGAACAAAAUUUGAAAUUGAUGUAAGAAAGUGCUUACCAUAACCCUUGAUAUUUACAACGAAAAAUAAGGAAAUAAAGGAGAUCACUCUGUAAACAAAUUUAAGAAUUUUAUUCAUUUUUCUCUCUUUUCAAGUAUGAAACACUUAUUUUUAUAUCAAUUUUUUUUAACACUAGAGAAGCAUGAAAGACUUCAUAAAAAUAGUUUU
rnacentral:lncRNA from 1 species